AGUGGGCGCACAUUAAGGGGACCGCUGGCGCUAAGUCAGAGGAAGGAGAGGUCAACGGUAGGUCAGUAUGCCCCGAAUCUCCCGGGCUACACGCGCGCUACAAAGGACAGGACAAUGGGAUGCAAUACCGAGAGGUAACGCCAACCCCGAAACCUGUUCGUAGUUCGGACUGAGGGCUGUAACUCGCCCUCACGAGGCUGGAUUCCGUAGUAAUCGCGGGUCAACAUCCCGCGGUGAAUAUGCCCCUGCUCUUU
rnacentral:rRNA from 1 species